UAAUGGCAGGUCAGCAUACUGCCGUGAAUACGUUCCCGGGCCUUGUACACACCGCCCGUCACACCAUGAGAGUUGGGGAUACCCGAAGCCUGUGAGCUAACUUAUAGAGGCAGACAGUCGAAGGUAGAAUCAAUGAUUGGGGUGAAGUCGUAACAAGGUAAC
rnacentral:rRNA from 1 species